UGUCCCAACCUCCCACAUGAUGAAAUGAUCCUUUUAAAGCGGGCUCAAUAUGUCUCAAUCUGCACUCCUCUGCCUUCUCUAAAGCUUCUGGGUUCGGAACAUAGCCCAGAAAUAUAUUAAUUAAAGCGCACUCUACAUCGGACGUUUUAGUACUGAGGAGGAAGACGCGGUCGGAUCAAGUCAAGCUCUGUCAACGAUGGAUGGAUGAAGAUUCAUGGCAGGAAAAAGAGGGGAAAAAGGCAAUCAAUGCUGCAGCACUCUCUCGUUCACCCUGAACUGGCUGUGAACUCCCCCGGAACGCCGCCAGCCUCUCCACCCUAUCCCAUCGCAGUUGAGGGUCACCAUGGGGGUGUCUCUGUGCCAAUAUGCAGAUGAGCCUGUGUCCCUCCAAUGACUCUGGCGUUAAGCUCCACCCCUCUGUUUGUGUGUGUGUGUGUGUGUGUGGGGGGGGGGGAUUCUUUGAUAUGAAGUCUCACCCCCAGACAAGACUCACAUGCAGACAUAAACCUGCUCUCACACAGACUUAAACAGUCUUUUAACAACUUACAUCCACUCUUCCUUUAUUGGCUGAAGUGUGCUAAAGCUAAUGGACAUUGUCAAAGCUGAAAUGUGUACUGAUUUAGAGGCGAAAGCACAAUGAGCUGACAGAGACAGAAGGAAAGGAAUUGCGUCAGCUAUGCCACAAAUCAAAGUAAUAUUUUUAAAAGGUGUGGAGAUGAGGUGUCAUUUGGCUGUAUCUUUGUGUGUAAAGUGAACCCAUAAACAGCCAAUAAGUACUGCUUUAACUUCAAUUUUGGCACACAACUAUAAGGGUUUUUCUGUAAGGUAUAAUGUAUUGGUAUAAAGAUUUAAUGGACAAAGUUUUUGUGAAAAACCAAAAAUAUUAUCUUGCAUUUAACUGAUAAACUUUGAAAUUAAA